GAGGUGGGCAAGUUAGUUGCUCCAAAAACAAGAUAAAAUGAUUGAGUUCUUUUCUCAAGCGGGAGUCGGAGUUUAUCUGCUCUGAGAGCCCCAGCAGCUACUAUUAAUGAGUGUCUGGAAUAUGUUCCUGGCAUUUCACCUACCCUCUCUCCAAUCCUUCCAAGAAACUCACAAAGCAGGGCUUUUUCUUGAACUUCUCUUCCUCACAACAGUUAAAUCAUCCAUUUAAAGAUGUCAAACAACCUCCGUGUUCUAAGAACUAUUUACUGAGCUCUACGGAGACACAGCUACAAGCACCACAUGCUGGACCCCUGAAUAUGGAGGGCCAACUACACUAGAAACACACACGCUAGCUGAGAAAGAUGGUGGCUUAAGGGGAAAAAGAAAGAAAGGGGAGUAGAAAUAGAAGAAAAGAAAUGAGAAGGAGAAAACAAAGGAGAAGGAAAACGAGAAAAGAAAAAUGUAGGAAAAAGUUGUAAAGAUCACCAGUUUGUAGUAGAGGCCCACUCUCGGAAGGUUUGGUAAAAAGUUGUUUUGAAUCAUAAUGUUGGCUUUAUUGGCAUGUUGAAACCAUUUACCUCUGUAAUUUUCCAUUUGUUUUCCUUUCCAACUACCACUCCUCCUGCCUGAUAAAUAAAUACCAUUGCAAGA
rnacentral:lncRNA from 10 species